GCAUGGGUUUGAAUUUGUGGCAGAUCUGAUCCCAUGGGGCUCUCGCAGUGUCCCAUGCCAAAGCAAACUGUCACCCUAAACAAUUGCCUGGCUUUACCCGGUGGCUUUAAGGCUCUGAAGCGGGUUGCACAGUG